GGGCUUGGGGUUGUCCUGGUUGUAGAGAUGUGUCCUGUCAUUGGGUUUGGGCUUGGGGUUGUCCUGGUUGUGGAUAUCUGGGAGCUGGUUGUCUCUGGAAACAAACAAACAAUAGCAUCACAAUCUCUUUGUUGGGGGGAGGUGGUGGUGGGCAGUAGAGAAAGGAGGCUAAUCUGAUGGAACGCUGGAGCAAAUUUCAGUAGACCCUUCUCAGUUACCAAGUAUUUGUAGAGGAUGAGGAAAAAACUAGGGGUACAGAAUGUCAAGGAACAAAAUGCAAGUAAGAAAGAUUCUCUACCCUUAAGGUCUACACAAUCCUAAAUGGGAAGGAAUUUAUACAACUACUGAAUUUGUUGUUGGGUGGGUAGUCUGUCCUCCUAUGUCUUUAUGUCCUUAAUGUUAUAUUAGAUCAACCAGUGCAAAUAUCAUCCAGAAUGGCAUGAUUUUCUUUUUUUCCUACUAAUUUCAAAGGUUGCAUGUAAAGCUUGUAAGAAUAGAUAAUCAUUCAGACCUGAGGAUGGCUACCCUGCCCUAAAGCAAGUGCAAAGAGGCCCUGUACAAACCCCUGAAUCUCUUUCUGUGGUUUCAGAGGCACUGGUCAUUCUCAGAUGUGGGGGUCUGACCAUCCAUGGGUUCUCUGAGGUUGCCUUGCAGAGAAGCAGAGAACCAGGCCCUGGGGUAGUCUGAUCCUGGAAAACCUGGAGUAUUAUAAUGAUGCCUCCAGGGGUCUAUGGAUCAAAGAGGACUAUAUAGAAGAAUAAGAAGGGAGAAAUCCUGUGAUUUGCUCGGGCCCAAGCACUGUCCCCAGCGGGAGGGUGUCUUCCAGUUAGGAGGCCUUGUCUUAUCUCAUUUAGUGUUUCUCCAGGGCAAAUGUUUCUCUAGUAUCCCACUGAGCCACAAAGUCUGAACACAACUACUUGAAGGAAUCCUGAUUAGAAACACACAUUUUUUCUUUCUUUCUUAGCAUUUACAUGAGUGUUCAUCUUGAAAAUACCCUUCAGGGAGAAAAUAAUACCCUGGUCUUUCCACAGAGGGGAAGCACCAAAGGAAGCCAUGAAGGCAUUCAUGUAAUAGUUUCCUUAGGCAGAAUCACUUUAAAAUCUAUUGCUGAAAACAGAUAUCCCUUGUGACCACAUUUGCAAUGUACAGUCAGCAGGAAGAUGAGCAUCAUACUGCAUGUUGGGGGGCUCCCAAGGAAGACUUGUUAUCUGGACAUUAAGAAAGACUAAUGUUUAUUGUUCUUGGUUGAGCUUUGCAUUUUAAAACUUCAUUCGUAGUAAAAUGUUGUCUUUCUAGUUUUGAUGUAAGUCUAAGAAAAGUGGAAAAAAGUAUAAGAUGUGGACUGUGAGUCCUAGUUUUGCCAUUUGCUUUCUGUGUGGCUUUGGGCAAGUUACCUAUCUUUCUUGGACCUCAGUGUCUCGAAUUUGUUUUAACUCCAUAGAAGGAGGUAGGAGAGAAGGAAGAGGACAGAGAAGGGAGGAGAAGGACCAGGAGCUCCAGGAUGGUUUGAAGUUGGAGACGACAGCCUGUGAAAGGAAGCUUCCAGACCUAUGGAAAACCGAGAGAGAUCUGGGAAUUUGAGCUUCUAUCAAAAGGGAAAAAUCACAGUCCAUACAAGGAGAAGGAGAUACGCACAGCAGCAGGGAAGAUGGCCCCUUCUGCAUGGAGAGAUUCCACUGAGGUGGUGCCUGGGAGCUGCUCAUACCUCCUCCAGAGGGGAAUUCCAAGGAUCGCAGGCUUCACCCCAUCCUUGAGCAAUGAAAGAUAAGUGCCAGGAAAUGACAAGGACAACCUUGGAGGCCACAUGAUGAAGACAGCAGAACUUUUGUUAGCCUGGGUGCCCCUGGGUGGAGAGCUGCUCUUGAAAACUGGGAACAUUUGCCUUGGGCUGUUUUGGAGGAAACAAGCCCAUGAAGUGCUGUUCAGUGACACCUCCAAGGCCGUGGGCAGAGUCCAGAUUGGAACCAGAUUGGAGUACCCACACCUCUUUCCUUCAUUCUCCUUGCUGUUCCUGUGCUAUCUCACCCUGGUGAGGCCAACAUAACCACAGGAGGUGGGUAUGAAUUAAGAGAGUCUGCUUCUCAAUUCUGCAAAGCCGAAAAGACUGUGGGGCAAUCGCCAUUAUCUCUGAAUGUUCCAGAUGAGGACACUGAGAUCCGGAGGACUGUGAUAGCCCAAGGCCACACACAGUAGUGGUAGGAAACUAAGUCUGUUGCCUUUUGGCCACACAAUGCUGUUAAAUCGAUUGUGUGGUUGAAAUUUAAAAAAAAAAUGUUUAUUUAUUUUUGAGAGAGAGACAGACAGAGCAUGACCAGGGGAGGGGCAGAAAGAGAGGGAGACAUAGAAUCUGAAGCAGGCUCCAGGCUCUGAGUUGUCAGCACAGAGCCUAACGUGGGGCUUGAAUCCACAAACUGUGAGAUCAUGACCUGAGCUGAAGUCGGAUGCUUAACCUUAACCAACUGAGCCACCCAGGCACCCUGUCAGUGGUGUGGUGUAAUGGGGUCCAACCCUGGAAGGGUUUGCGGUCUCAGUACCUAUAAAGUACUGACAUUCAUGUGCUAAUGGUUGGUGAGCAGUCAUGCCACACGGAUGGGUGUCUGGGAAAGUACUGUGUGUCCUUCGCUUCCUCAGCCCUCCCAGCCUCCUGGCUUAGGCUGGGCCCGUAACAGGGGCUCCAUGACUGUGUAUGGGAAUGAAUGAUGGUUUGCUUCAGGAAUCUUAGAACGAUGCAGAACACCAUUAACAGUAACGUGUCUAACACUUCAGAGUUCCCUAAGUGCUUCCACAUACAUUAUCUCAUUUCAAGUACCUACCUGCAUUUGAAAUUGUUACAGGGUGUAAGCAUAUAAUUAAAAUAUCAAUUAAGCCAGGUUCUGAAAUACAUCAGACUGUGCUAGAACAUGAAUUAAAAGCAAAAACAAAAACAGAAACAAUGACAACUCAUCAAUCUAGGACUAAUUUCCCGGGUGUGACCCACAACUCAUCUCCCCUCAACCCCAGUUUUGCUCCAAUGGCAUCAUCGUACUCAGUGGACCUGCCUUGUUGGUUCUCCCUGAUUUUGCUCUUAUUGCGCCCUCUGUCAGGAAUUCUCCUGCCUAAUUUGUCUGGGAAACAAAGUCUUCUUUAAUCUUUAAAGCCCUGGUUAUAUAUCUCCAAUUUUGUUACGGUUUUCUUAACACCUUCUUUUGCCCCCUUCACUCCUAAUUACGUCGAAUUAGCUGCUUCCACAGACUGUGUUAUGUCACAUCUUAUACUGUAUUGCAAUGAUUAACUUUUGUUCCUCCUCCUUCAUCAGGCUGAGCAUCUUGAGGGCAGAGCUGUUUUAUUUCCUCUAGUGUCUGGGACCCUGUAGGUGUUGGAUAUAUGUCUGUUACAUGAAUGAAGAGAUAUGCCUGGGGCAUUUGGUGACCAGGUGAAGACCCUGGUGGGUUGGCAUUUAUUCAGCCUGCAUGCCUUAGACCAACACCAAACAGGUCGGGUUCCCUGGGGGUGAGGCCAUCACUGAGGACCGAGUUACUCUUUCAGUGCAGCCCCAUUUCUGCAGGAAGCAACUUGCCAGGUAAAGAAUAAAUCUCAAGUUUUACAACUUGUUUAUUUUCUAACCAGACUUCUCAUUAAAAUGUAACAAAACUAAACGAAACACCCACAACAAUCCAUUCUCUUUCACAAACAAUAAAAUACCCAGGAAGGAUUAUGGAAUAUUUGGCUUCUCUGAAUGUAUCUGGCAAUAUGUCCUGUGUUGCUUUUCCCAAAAAAUAAUUGCCUCUGUAGACAGUAGAUAAGGCAUGUGUGGUGUGCGUGCAUGCAUGUAGGAGCACGCACACACACACACACACACACACUGAUGACAUGGUGUAGUUGAAGGUUAAGUAGACUGAGAUUCAAAUCAAAUCCAGCUCAACUGUUCACCAGCUGUGUGAUCUAGGGUUUCCGUAUAAUAGGGACGGCAAGACCUAUAUUGUAAGGUUGUUGUGAGGGUCCAAAGGGAGCAGAGGAACCAGAGAAGUUCACAACCCUCAGAAACUCUCUCCCAAAGACAAAUUGGGGUAUGAGGAUGGCCUGCUAAUCCUGGAAAGCUCUCCAUCCCCUGGAGCCUUACACACACACAUUGUUCCGUAAGCAACCCCUGGAGCCUUACGUACACACAUUGUCCCAUUUUGGGGGGCAUUUGAUAGUAUUGCCUAUCAUCAUUUAUCUUUUCCUGCACACCCAUAUAUCUCCCUAACUGCACUGGAACCACCUCAAGGGCCAGCUUAAACACUUCUUUCUGUCUGGCAGAAGAGAUGCUUCCUAGGUGGGCUGGCCACGUGGGCCAUGGUUCCAUGGGGAAGACCUGGGGAGAUCUGAAUCUCCAUAUGAGUCUUCUCUGCCCUGCUUCUAGGUCUCAGUUCAGACUUACUGCUGGGCUGGUUGAGGGUUCUGACACUGAUAGAUUAUUUCAGAAGCUACUCUUCAGCCGUUCCUUCUGGUCAGAAGUUUGAGGAUGGGUAGCACAAUGGGACAGAGAUCAUGGACUCCAUGGUGUGAACUCAACACCAGUGACCUACAAUCCUCUGUGUCCUGUUCAUAAAAAUAGGAACACUAAAACAUCCCUCACAGGCCUGCUUCUAGGAUGAAAUGAUAGGGCAGUGGAACCAUUGAGUGCAGGGCCUGGCACACAGUAAGGUUCUCACUAGGGUUUUUCUUGUUAAUACCACAAUGCUUUACUUUUAAGGUACCAUUGAUUAUGAGAUGCACUACAGAUAACAGCUUUUCAGGGAAAACUUGAGUGCAGAUUACCAGUUAAAUUCAUACAUCUCAACCUCAGACGCAUUAAAAGUGCACAACUGGGGCGCGCCUGGGUGGCUUAGUAGGUUAAGCACCUGAGUUCGGCUCAGAUCAUAAUCUCAUAGUUUGUGAACUCGAACCCUACGUUGGGCUCUGUGCUGACAGCUCUGUCUUCCUCUCUCCCUGCCCCUCCCCUGCUCAUGCUCUGUCUCUCUCUGUCUCUCAAAAAUACAUAAACAUUGAAAUAAAAUUUAUUUUAAAAAAGGCGCACAACUGAGCCAUGAAUUGUCUUUGCACUAGUCACAGGGACGAACAGCUGAGGAAGAGAAGUACAUGAGAUAAGAAGCAAAAACCACUGAUGCAAUUAGAUGACAUCCUCAGUGAUCAGCCCGAUACAAACACGAUGCUGGUAGAUCCAAAAGAUUGCACUGCAGACUCUCCCAGGCCUGGAACGGAGAGCGUCAGGGACACAGCCCUUGGCUCUCCUUUUGUCGGCGUCUCUUAAGCAUCUCUUGGGUGGAUCCACUGGGUUCUACAUGUGGUUUAGGCUUUCUGGACUGAAGCCUGAUGGAGGCCGGGUACUGGCCUUGGUAUCUGCUCCACCAUCAGGUGGGGUCAGCCUUCAGCUGGUAUCUGACAGACCAGCCUCCACUGCUUGGCUUUUCCAUUGAUCUUGGAGCUUCUUUGCUCCCCUCAGAGUUGGGAAGGGUGGUACAGCUUCUGUCAGAGCUCCCCCUUUUCUCUGCAUUGGCUUAGUUCAUAGGACUAUGCUUGUGCUUUAUUUCCCUCCCAUGUUCAUUGUAUCCACUAGGACCUAGUCAGAAACCAUACUAGGUUUAUCAAAUGGAGGGGAUUUAUUGUGGGCUAUUGGAUGCAUAGGUGUUGGGAGGCUGGAGCAACAAAAGUGAGAUUGUGAGGUGACUCAGAGCUAAUUAACUGCUGGAAGAAGCUACCACAGCUAGGGCUGGGGGAACAAAGGGGAGGAGGGGGUGUUACCAGGAUCUGGGAACACAGAGGAGGGUUUGUAGCCACAGGAGCAGCUGCCACAGAGGAGGAGCUGUUACAGCUAGAGUUGGAAUGAUGGAAAUAACAUAGCACUUUAGAGACAUCACCAAAAAAAAAAAAAAAAAUAGAGGGAGAGAGAGAGAGAGGGAGAGAGAGGGAGGAAGAACAGUGGCUUCUCCUUUCCUCUUGCACCCAAUAUCUUUUAUUGAGAAACUUCUGAGCAAGUCAACUGGCAAAGGCACUAAAGCAUUAUAGAGGAGUAUACAGAGAGUGGGCUUGGAGCAGAGGGACAGAGGCAAACAGUGAGCACAUUUGGGCAGUUAACAAAUAUUUUUAAAGUACUUCCCAAAUGCUAGGCACAGUUGUGGUGCUGGGGAGCCAGCAGUGGACAAAAGAGAAAAGUCCCUACCCUAUUAGAGCUCACAUGGCAGUUGAGAAAAACAGUGAAUAAACAUAAAAAAAAAGUAAAGUAUAUAGUAUCUCAGAUGGUGGUUAAAGUUCUAGAGAACAAUUAAACAGGGAAAGGGUAGGGAUUGGGGAGAGUGGGUAGGUUGGGAGGAAAAGUUUCACUGGGAAGGGGUAUUUCAGCGAAAGAAGUGAGAGAAUGAGCCCUGACACUUCUUGAGGGAAGAGCUGUGUAGGCAGCAACACAGUAGAUGCAAAGGCCCUGGGGCCUGCCACAUUCAAGAAAUAAUAAAGAGACCAGAGCAGAGUGUGCAAGAGGAAAAGUAAUAGGAAAUGGAGCCAGGGAGACAUGGUUGCUGAAAGCAGUUUGGGCUCCAGAAGGAAGAAAUAGAGACUCUUUAGAAUAAGGAGGCCACCUAAAAAUCUUUACACAGGUUUUUAUCAGACCCUGGUCUCCUUCUGACUUCAGCCCUGGGUUAUUUGUACUGGCCUCCCUCCUACCUUUUAUAGGCUCUGAAGAGAGAUAAAAAGGGUGGGACUUGAGGACAGACCCUGCAGGGCCUGAAAGCCAUUGUAGUGGCCUUUAUGGUAAGUGAUGUAGAAAGCCAUUCUCACCUUCCGUUCUUCUUAGUAUCCACUUCUGCCUCCUCACUCCGCAUAGGGACUGGAGGUCCACCUUAAGCCCCAGCUCAGUAACUGGGAUUCUCUGUCCUCUGAUCCCAUUGUCUUCUAGACUGUGGGCUUCCUGUCAGCAUAGCCCUGUCUAUUUUAAGUAUCUCUGUAUGUCUAGUAGGGGCUUAGGAAAUACCUGUUGGAUGAAUGAAUGGUUAAGAAGAUUCUCAUAUUUCACAUUUGUCACAAGCAUUGCGACAAGUUGGCUCAGUCGACCUAAUCAGACCCAUUGUGAAUUGGGUGCAGAGAAUCAGUCCAGCUAGUGAGUUGGAGUCAGCUUGGAAUUGGAGUUGCAUGAUUGAGUUUUUUAACUAGCUGCAUGCAGUGUGUGAGUGAUAGUCUCAGUGUCCACAAAAACUUUGGGGCCAACUUUGGGACACAGGAGGUGUAUCUACCUCACUGCUUUCUGGUAAUGACAGAGGUUUUUUUCCCCCCUUCUUUUUAUUAGUGAUAAAGGUUUUGUUGGAGAUAAUUGUAUUUUUAGCAGCACAGUUAAUGAACUAGCUAAGCAUCAAUAGAUGGAAUCAUAAAACCAUUAAACACCAAGAGCAAUAAUGGGAAGCUGUGUCUGGUGGUAAUGAAAUUAAGUGUCUUUAUGAGGUCACUUUAUUCCUUUUCUCCUCAGCGCUCUUGCCCUCCUGAGUACAUGGUGAGUGCCGCUCCUAAUUGCUGUUUCACUAAAAUGCACAAUGCUAUCCAUUUUGUGUUUUAAUUCAAUGUAUUUCUAGGGCCUUCAGGAUCAUUAAACCGUCCACCAAGAGAGUGCAGUAGAAGUGGUUAUGAAAGCUUCUGGAAGUGGCCCAGGAGUGUCAGAGAGUAAAGACAGCAGAAAAGGUUGAGAAAGAAUAAAAAAGACCUGCUGGACUUAGUACUGAGCCCAAACUGAUGAUGUCAGUGCUCAAGGUUGAGCUCAUUCAGGUCUUUGGUACAACUUCUGCAGACAGGACAGGAUUGGGGUCUAUGGUUAUAUUUGUCCUUGAACCACAGUUUUUCAGCUUGGGAAUACAUUCAUAUGCAUAAUUUCCUUUGAGCAUCAGGACAACCGCCUAUGAUAGUUUUUUUUUUUUUUAACAUUCAUUUAUUUUUGAGAGAGAGAGACACACACAGAGCACAAGUGGGGGAGGAGCAGAGAGAGAGAGAGGGAGACACAGAAUCCAAAGCAGGCUGUCAGCAUAGAGCCUGAGGUGGGGCUUGAACCCACGAACUGUGAGAUCAUGACCUGAGCCUAAGUCAGAUGCUUAACUGACUGAGCCACCCAGGUGUCCUGAUAAAUUUUUUUCCCCACUUUUCAGAUGAGGAAACUGAGGCUCAUGGAGUUUUAAGAGAGAUGACUCAGGUACCACUGCUAAUCAGGGGCCAAAGCUUCUGUUCUCUCUCUUAUACCAGGAAACUUCAUGGGUGUUGAGCCAAAUCACUUCCCAGUGAUUUUAAACUUGCCCAUCCAAGGUCACAGAAUCAUUACUUCAUUCAAUAAUUUGAGAAAUAUUUGUUGAUAUCUCCCAUAUGCUGGGAGUGUAAUAAUGAGCAAAGCAGACCCUUCCCCUGUCCUGAUAGAACGUAGAUGUAGCUGGGAAGGGUUAAGUAAGCAGCAUCAUGCAGUGGCUGGGUGAUAUGAUAGAGAAAACACCACGAUGGGGAGGCUGGCAGCAGGAUGAGAAAUCUGCAGGAUGAGAAGCCUUACUGGAGGAAGUGAGGUUUCAGUCCGAGGCCUGAAGCAUGGAAGUUAGAGAAAGAGAUGAAGGGAAGAGUAUACAAAGGUGUGGCUGAAGUGUAGGAGGGAGUGGUGGCUGAAUGGCAGUAUUUAUUGAGGUGAUAGCAUCAACUGAUAGGACCAAGGAACUGAUUUCAUGUGCAGGCUGAAGGGGAAGGAGGAAUUAGGAAUGCCUUCUAUUUACUGAGACAGGGAGCACUGUGUGAGGAGCCCAAGAGAGAAGGUGGGAUAAGAUGGUAAUUACUGGGCAUGUGCCACUCCUAUAAAAAUGAGCCCUAAAAGGCCGUUCAGCCUGCCAGGCCUCAUGGUAUCUUAGGGCUAAGAAGUGAAUUAAAUCCUUGCUAUAGACGUGGUGUUAAUUCUUUCCUCGAUGCCACCCACAAACCCCGUGUACACUGUUUACACCCUGCUGAGGAGUUGAAAGGACAGAAUGAAGCCUCAAAAUGGUAAAAAACAGCUGGAAUGAUAAGACUAAGUUUGAUGGAAUUUAAUAGGGGCAAACGUAAAUGACACACCCCUUAGGUUUGCAGAAUCAAUUGUUCAUGAUAAAAAGAAAAAACAACAAAUGGAGUCACUUGUGCUAAGUCCCACAUCUGCAAACCAAGUCUUAGCCCCCAAACGAAGUGGAGUUUCAGCAUCUCCCAGAAACGUGACCUUUGACCAGUCAAGCUGGAAUCACCUGGUCAGCACCAGUGAGGUCAUCUCCCUGAUAACCUCCACCUUUACCCAAAGGAAGGUGACCUUGCCAGAAACAAUCCACUCUUCGUCUUGACCCCUUUCUGCCUGUGGAAGCCUUUUAUUUUAAACAGCUCUUUAGAGCUCUUUUAUGCUUCCUAGAUGGCAUAUUCAUAAAUCAUUGAAUAAAGGCAAUUAGAUCUUCAAAUUUACUCAGUUGAACUUUGUUUUUUAACAAUGUAAAGAUUGAACACCUGACUUGAUAGCCGCUCAUGUCAACAGAGCCUAAUAGAGUCAGCCGUGGAGUGUGCACAGGCCUACCGUGUCCUACAGCUGCCUUUCUCCCGCUUCUAAUGCCCGUGAAAGUGGUUAUCUGAGCAGAAUCGAGAAGAACCGAUAAGGACAGAGACCAGUUCAGGGAGAUGUCUGACAAGGCCUGAGUUUCAGGGGGCUGCUUAGAGCAUGGUCCAGGCAUACCUCCAACAAAAUGCCUGGAAAAACCAGAAGCAAGGGACACAAUUCUCAACUGACCAGGGAGCCUCUGAGAGAGGGAUUUGUCUGGGCUAGAAACAGAAGGAAUGGUGGACCAAGGAAAUGAAAAAGGGCAGAGGAGCCCAGAAAAGCUGCUUGUCACGUUAAUUUGUUUCAAUCAUGUGUGAACUGAUUACCUAUAUGCUUAGCCCUCUGCUAUGGAAAAUGCCAUAAAAUGACAGCCACAGUAUAUUCGGUGCUAAUAAGUCUGGCUCAGACGGCAGGUGCUAGGCAGAAGACAGUGAGGUCUGUCAGGGCUGGGGGUCAAGAAAGACGUUCUUGGACAGCUGGGGGCCAAGGAAGAUGUCACUGGCAAGGCAUGAGUUGGGGGAAGUGAGAAAGCUGCUGACUGCAGUCUUGGGAAGCAGGUGGAUAGGUAAGGGUGAGGCCAGAGUUUGGCAUGCCCCAUGGGCCCGACAGACAAGGAGCUGAGAUGUGAUGGAGCUCAGUGGAGUGAGCUCUUACCUGUAGGGUGCAGGGUUCGCAGAAGAGUGGUCUGGCCUGUGAAGCUGAAUUGCAGGAAACCAGAAUCUGUGACUUUCUUCCCCAUUGCUUCUCUCCUUAUAGUGCGUGCCCUAGGUGGCUGACUACCCUGGCUGUGCUGAGCAUCUAUAGCAGACAUGAGUACCCAGACAGCAGUAACCAGGAAAGCUGCAGGGAAAAUGUCUGGGAGAGAAACCCCAGUGCCCUUUGAUGGGAAAUCAAGUAAGUGAAAGUGAGAUGCGAAGGAGCUUUGUAGGUUGCAGAGUGUAAGAGAUUCCUUUCCUUCCUCCUUUUCUUCCUUCUUCUCUUCCUUGCUCUUCCCUCCCUUCUCCAUCUGUUGGGCAGUGGCUUCCUAGAGGCACAGAAAGAUGGUCCUGCUCCCACAAUUCAUAGUGGAGAGGGGAGGUCAGACGCACAAGUAAGUGACAUUAUUUCUUUGAUUUUAAGAUGCACUCUCAAUACAAUAAGACAUUUGAGACAAAUAAAAUCAGAAACAGUACCACAUUAAAUGUACACAUGGUUUGCAAAACAUCCUUUUUUUGGAAACACACGGGUGUGAAAAAAAAGGUGUGUUUUAAAAUUGAGUGCUGUGGGCAAAGUGGUCAUUAUCACAAUAGGAGUGGGUUCAGUGACCUGUCAGAACAUAAAACUGCGGGGGCGGGGGAGGGGAUGUCUCUGUGUUAGAAGUGGUAGUUAGAGCUGUGUGAUCAUUGUCAUAAUGGUGGGGGGAGGCACUAGGCGCCCCUGGGACCCACUGAAGGAAGCUCUUAAUGCUGCCCGGGGACACCAGGUAAGGUUUCAGUGGGAGGUGGUGUUGGAAGGCCACCUUCUAGGUGAACGGUGGUGGACAAGCAUGGCUAAAGAGUCCAGAGGAGGGGGGUCCCUGCAGGGGAGCAGCUCUGGCAGAGGCAGGAGGCAAAGGAGAGUACUGUGCAUUCUCAGAGCAACUGCUGGUCAUCAUGGUGAUUGUUAUUAGCACUGGAGGAAACGAGGGGGCCUUCAGUCUGGAGGUGGCUGGCCACAUCUCAUCACAAAGAUAACAGGGAAGGAGAGGCAGGCUUUGCAGGGCAACAGAAGGUUCAUCUCUGCUGAAUUUGCCCAUAUCUUGGAAAGUUUCUGUUUGCUAUUUACAUAAGUCCUCAAUCGAUUACCUGAUGCAAACAUGAUGGGUUCUCAAAUAGUUAGAAAAUACAACAGAUUUCAGUCAAUAGAUUCAGAAUUCUUCAUUGAAUCUGCUUUCUUAUUCCCUUCAACCUUUUCUCAAGGGGAAGUAUGCCCUUUAGAAGUGAUUGAUUGUGUUGCCCCUGGGCACUUGCACCUCUUACAGGUUUGUUUUUUUUUCCUCUCUCUCUCUCUCUCUCUGUCUCCCUCUCUCUCUGUCUUUCUCUUCUUCCCCAUGGUUGUCAAAGCUGCAUAAGCUGCAACAUCAGGCAGGCAUCAAGGAAUAUAUUUUUUGUUCAGAUGUGUGUGUGCAUGUGAGGCUGUCUCUGAAUUGCAUCCUCAUAGAAUAACCUUUGGGUGUUCGCAUGAUGAGGAUGCUAUUAGCAGGAAAUUCAUUUUUUCUUGGUCCCAGGACAGGGAGAAAGCUACCACAGUGUUGAAAGGAAGCCCAGUAAACAGUAAGCAGGAAGGCCUGGUAAAAGAGAUGGACAGUACUGGAUUAAUUAGGACAUUCUCCUGGGCUAUGUCUCUUUAUGCUCCUGGGGGGAUGGAUAUUCUCUUGGGGCAGAGAAGCCCCCCUCUGGUCCUUUCUGCACUCACUUAUUAGCUCAGCCCAUCCUGGGCCUGGGGGAGAGAAUCUCCUGGCUGCCCCUCCCCCCCCCACCCCUCACCCCCUUAAUGCUCUUUCUCAGCUCUGGGAGGCCCAUGGGCUGUCAGAGUAACCACUGGGAUGGAAAGGCACCCACCGGGAGCCACCGCCCCGGCUCCUCCUGCUGGUUCUGCCGCUGGAGCCUCUUUGGAUCAUGUUUGCUCAUCUGUGAAAUCAGGCCGUUUACUAGUUAAUCUCUAAGGUUGUGCCUCAGCUCUAUGACAGUAAUUCAGACAAGAAUAGACACCGUUGUUGCUGAAUGUUUAUACUGUGUGCCAGGCAUUCUGCUGAGAGCUUACCUCAUUUAAUCCGCAUGGCAACUCUGUGUGGUUCAUAUUCUUAUUAUCUCAUUUUACAAAUGAGGAACCGAGGCUCCGAGAUAUUGGCUGCUUAGUCCUGGGGAAUGUAAGUGGAAAGUGGCAGAACCGGAGUGAGCCCAUGUCUCUGAUUCUGCAACCCACAUGUUUGAUUCAUUUUCUUAGUCAAGCUGCUAUAACAAAACCCACUGACUCCAUGGCUUAAACAACAAACAUCUGUUUCUCUCAGCUGGGAGGCUGGAAGCCCAAGAUCAAGAUGUCUGCAGAUUCUGUGCCUGCUGAGAUCUCUCUUCCCGGUUUACAGAUGGCUGCCUUCUUGCUGUGUCUUCCCACAGCACACAGAGAGAGAGAGGGAGAGAGGGAGGGAGCAAGAGUUCUAGUCUCUUCUUCUUCUUAUAAGGACAUUAAUCCCAUGAUAAGGAUCCUACCCUGAUGAACUCCUGUAAACCUAGUCAUGUCCCAAGGUCCUAAUACCACUGCCUCGUGAAGUUAGGGCUUCAACAUAUGGGUUUCAUAGGAACACAAACAUUCAGCCCAUAAUAGAUGUUAUGCAUCUUGCCUCCUUCCAUGAUUUGGAGAGAGUGUGAGUGAGGCUUGAGUCACCCUUAGGAGCAAUAGGAGGGCCUCUGCUCCCCACCUCCAGCACGGCACAGAGAGGGAGUAGUCAGGUGUAAAGUCGCUUUGCCUGAGAGCAGGACUCUGGGAGCUGGUGAACAGGGAUCCUGCGUAAUGUUUAUGAAGGCAGACACUCGGAGACAAGCUACUUCCCAGGAGUAUCUGUGACCAUCUGUGAACAUCCAUCCAUUUGUUCCACAAAUGUCUUUUGAAUACCUACACUCUUUCAGCGACUGGGAAUCCAGUGGUGAACAAGACAGGGAGCUUACCUUUUAGUAGGGAAAAAAGGCAUCAGCUAAUAAUACAAAUGAAUAGGUAAUUUAAAAUCAUGUUAAAUACUAGGAAAGACUAUACAGAGUGCUAUGAGGAUACUCCUGGGGGCCAGAUUUGGUCCUGGUGGAAGAUGUGGUCGUCACAGUUCUUCCUGAAGAAGUGGUUGCUGAGCAGAGCUCUUGGGGAUCUGAAGGCUUUAAGUAGACA